AGCGAACGCUGGCGGCAGGCUUAACACAUGCAAGUCGAGCGGGCAUCCUUGUGGUGUCAGCGGCAGACGGGUGAGUAACGCGUGGGAACGUGCCCUUCGGUUCGGAAUAACUCAGGGAAACUUGAGCUAAUACCGGAUACGCCCUUUUGGGGAAAGGUUUACUGCCGAAGGAUCGGCCCGCGUCUAAUUAGCUAGUUGGUGAGGUUAUGGCUCACCAAGGCGACGAUCAGUAGCUGGUCUGAGAGGAUGAUCAGCCACACUGGGACUGAGACACGGCCCAGACUCCUACGGGAGGCAGCAGUGGGGAAUAUUGGACAAUGGGGGCAACCCUGAUCCAGCCAUGCCGCGUGAGUGAUGACGGCCUUAGGGUUGUAAAGCUCUUUUCUCCGGGACGAUAAUGACGGUACCGGAGGAAUAAGCCCCGGCUAACUUCGUG
rnacentral:rRNA from 1 species